GGGGAAUAUUGCACAAUGGGCGAAAGCCUGAUGCAGCAACGCCGCGUGAGUGAAGAAGGUUUUCGGAUCGUAAAGCUCUGUUGCCAGGGAAGAACGUCCUGUAGAGUAACUGCUACAGGAGUGACGGUACCUGAGAAGAAAGCCCCGGCUAACUACGUGCCAGCAGCCGCGGUAAUACGUAGGGGGCAAGCGUUGUCCGGAAUUAUUGGGCGUAAAGCGCGCGCAGGCGGCUGUUUAAGUCUGGUGUUUAAUCCUGGGGCUCAACUCCGGGUCGCACUGGAAACUGGACGGCUUGAGUGCAGAAGAGGAGAGUGGAAUUCCACGUGUAGCGGUGAAAUGCGUAGAGAUGUGGAGGAACACCAGUGGCGAAGGCGACUCUCUGGGCUGUAACUGGCGCUGAGGCGCGAAAGCGUGGGGAGCAAAC
rnacentral:rRNA from 1 species